rnacentral:rRNA from 1 species
UGGGAUGACGUCAAGUCCUCAUGGCCUUUAUGCUUAGGGCUACACACGUGCUACAAUGGGUGGUACAAAGAGAAGCCAACUCGCGAGAGCGCGCCAAUCUCAAAAAGCCAUCCUCAGUUCGGAUUGGAGUCUGCAACUCGACUCCAUGAAGUUGGAAUCGCUAGUAAUCGCGGAUCAGCAUGCCGCGGUGAAUACGUUCCCGGGCCUU